GGAGGUAUAGCUCAGUGGUAGAGCACAUGCUUAGCAUGCACGAGGUCCUGGGUUCAAUCCCUCAAACCUCCA
rnacentral:tRNA from 1 species